GACGUAGGGCGCGAGCGUGUCCGGAUUUAUUGGGCGUAAAGAGCUCGUAGGCGGCUUGUCGCGUCGACUGUGAAAACCCGCGGCUCAACCGCGGGCCUGCAGCCGAUACGGGCAGGCUGGAGUUCGGUAGGGGAGACUGGAAUUCCUGGUGUAGCGGUGAAAUGCGCAGAUAUCAGGAGGAACACCGAUGGCGAAGGCAGGUCUC
rnacentral:rRNA from 1 species